ACGCUCGACACCUACGGGAGCAGCAGUGGGGAAUAUUGCACAAUGGGCGAAAGCCUGAUGCAGCAACGCCGCGUGAGCGAAGAAGGCCUUGGUCGUAAGCUCUGUCCUCAAGGAAGAUAAUGACGGUACUUGAGGAGGAAGCCCGGCUAACUACGUGCCAGNACGCGGUACGUAUNGNGGCGGNGNGAGAG
rnacentral:rRNA from 1 species